GGAAAAGCAGAUCAGGAACUUCAGCUUAUCAGAGCUAUCGAUCAGUGCUUAUCAGACAGGAGACCAAAGUCCAAUACUUUUUCUGCCCCUGGGAUGCCUGGCCUUCACUACCUAUUGUUGGGAAGGACAUGUAGAUAUACCAUGCAGUUGGAUGUUGCUGAGAGUGCCUGGAGAAUACCACUCCUUCACAUUCACAGCAAGGUGGCUCAGUCACCCAGAGACUUCCCUGUGAAGUUCUGACCAGCUCCAGACGCUCUGACAGCAGGACCCAGACCCAGGGCCUGACCACUGUGCGCUUCUAUCAGGGGGCCCAGCCCAGACUCAGAAUUGAGUUGACACAUGGUGCAACACUGAAGAUGCUGCUGCUGACAGUGAUGACCUUGACGGCCACAACAGAGAUGCCCAUGAUGACAACGGUGAUAAUGACGGUGAUGAGGACAGAGCAGGAUGAUGCUGACUGACUAUGAUGAUGUAUUCUCCAGAAUUGAUGCUGAUUUCCCAUCAGAGCUUCAGAAGCCAGAUGCAGACCUCAGGCCUGUUAGCAUGAUGGCUACAUGGCCAACCCAUGCCCUACCUCUCCUCAGGGGUCUGCACAAAGAAAGUAAGGUGAGGCUCCUCCGUGGGAUCUCACUGAUCUUGUUCGACAGCUCAGAUGUCUGAAGCCAUCCUGAGCCACCCUCUUCUGUGUCUGUAACGUCAGAGUCGACACUGAAGAGAUCUGCUGAGCCACGUUUUGUUCAAACUUAGACAGGGAAGGACCUGGCAUAGAGAUUGCUGACUGCACUGAGGGGUCAUGAAGGCCAGGAACCAAUGUCGGAGGAUCUGGAGAGAGUUCUAUCUUCCUGUGUUGGCAGGAACAGGUUGGCAGAAGUAUGUAAGAAGAUGCUGACAAGGGCUGAGGGCUUGGUGGUCAUCACAUGAAGCAAGGACCAGAGAGUAUGUGGGGUUGGGGGCGUAGACAUAGCUUCAUGUCUGCUUCUAGAUACUCCAGAGCUCAUGGGGCAGAGGCUAAACCAAGCUGAUUUAGUAGAAACUGAUCUGUGCUUAGCCUCUGUCCCCAGCAGGUCUCCAUCUGUCUGGUGUCUAGAUGUCUGUACUCAUUAAAGCUGUUGAAAGCUCUCUAAGCACUGUCCUUACCGGGCAGGGUAUGUCAUGUUAGAGUGAAAACUGAGAAACAGAUCGUGGGCUGACUAAGCCAGUUGAAAACCAUUCUACCAAGAGUUAGUGUGAACACAGUUUUCCCAAGACACAGCCAGCACUAGCAGAGACAGCAGCAAGCAAGCAAGCAUCUCUCAUGCAGCCUAAGGGCCACUGUAUUCUCUGCAGACUGUGGUUGGGGCAUGGACGCACGUGUAUCGUCCAACUGCACGGACUGACCUGAAGGAGCGGUAUGAGCCUCGGCAUUGUCUUCUUUGCUAUCACAUGGGCACUAACGAGGGCAGCUUCCUCGGGGCUUAGCUGCCUGCGGACUCAGAAGCCACAGGGAACCACUGUGCUGUCUGUAUUGGUUAACCCUACCCGGCCUGACUCAUGUACCCUAAGGAACCUCAUCCAAGUGUGGAUGCGACACAGUGGCCCCUUUGUUGGAGUUUCCAGACAGUGAUGCAUUUCUUUAUGAAGUGUCAGUCACAUUAGGAGUCACCUCCAACUUCCUCGGGAAGUAGUGAGCUUUUGGGAAGCAAACAGUCGCAGAUACAGAUACACAUUUUCCAAACCUUCAUGUUUUACUUGAAAGCUCUUGUCUAAUUUUUUUAAUUAAAAAAUAUAUUUUGCUGUCAGAUAGUAUACAGAUA